rnacentral:rRNA from 1 species
ACUCAAAUGAAUUGACGGGGACCCGCACAAGCAGUGGAGCAUGUGGUUUAAUUCGAUGCAACGCGAAGAACCUUACCUGGACUUGACAUACACUUGACAAUUUUAGAGAUAAAAUGUUCUCGCAAGAGACAGGUGAACAGGUGCUGCAUGGCUGUCGUCAGCUCGUGCCGUGAGGUGUUGGGUUAAGUCCCGCAACGAGCGCAACCCUUGUCGUUAGUUGCCAGCGCGUAAUGGCGGGCACUCUAGCGAGACUGCCUGGGUUAACCAGGAGGAAGGUGAGGAUGACGUCAAGUCCGCAUGGCCUUUAUGUCCAGGGCUACACACGUGCUACAAUGGCCGGUACAGAGGGCAGCAAAACCGUGAGGUGGAGCAAAUCCCAAAAGCCGGCCCCAGUUCGGAUUGAAGUCUGCAACUCGACUUCAUGAAGUUGGAAUUGCUAGUAAUGGCGAGUCAGCUACAUCGCCGUGAAUACGUUCCCGGGUCUUGUACACACCGCCCGU